CCGAACUGUCAACACGAGUUGUUGCUGGUCCUCAAAUGGGGGCAUGUGCACGCUCUGUUUGCAUAUCCACUCACACCUGUGCACCCUCCGUAGUUCUGCAGCCUGGGGGCUCUGUCCCCCCUGCCGUGGUUCUAUGUGUUUACACACACACACACACACUGUAAUAAAGUCUCAUGGAAUGCAUGUCGCGUUUAACGCAAUACAAUA
rnacentral:misc_RNA from 1 species